rnacentral:lncRNA from 1 species
UUUUGUUAUGGUUUGAUUCUUAAUUUUUCCCAUUUGAGUUUUGACCCAAUAUUUUACACACUUAUAGACAUUUGUAUUUAGGUCAUUUGGGUUUUAUUUUACGCUUGGGUAAUCAAUUUUGGAUUGUUUUUAAACCUAUUCUUGAGAGUUGUUUAGUGUGAUCAAUUAUUGAUGCAUUGCUUGAAUGAUGGUUUUGUUUGAGCACCUUUUGCACAUAACUUUGAGUACAUCUUUGGGACUUUUGAGCUUCUGAUUUCAUCUUGCUAUGCAUAUUUUUU